AUUAAAAGAUUUAAUGUUGACAUGGUAGUAUUCAUUGCCCGAGUUCAUGUAACAUUCGCAUCUGUGUAUGAUUAUGCGCUCUAUUUUAACUCAUUUGUUUGUGCAAUUAUAUGUAUCAAAUUUCUAGUUUUAAAAUACAGCUACAAAUGAAAAAUAAUCAGAAGUGAAAAAGAAAAGUAAAUUCCCAUAUAUGAAUCAAAGUAGAAGGGCUUUGUCUUGGAAUUACCAAUGUUUGUUCUUUGUUGUAAAUGUCACUGGGGCUUUACACGCUCAUCUCGUGUAAAUCUUUUCCCCUGAUCUGUUGUUCAACUGUUACAUAUACAGUUAAUGGUAACCUUUUGACUCCCUUUCUAAGUGUUCUCAUAGUUAUGUUCUUCAACUCUUGUCUAUUUCCCUAUACGUAAUGCUCACAUCUGCUGACAAGCUUAUUCUUCUUCAAUUAUUUGUGCAGACUCCAUU
rnacentral:misc_RNA from 1 species